rnacentral:tRNA from 1 species
GGGGGUAUAGCUCAGUUGGCAGAGUGCACGCUGAGCAUGCAUGAGGCACUUGGUUCAAUUCCCAGUACCUCCA